UACGGGGGGGGCAAGCGUUGUUCGGAAUUACUGGGCGUAAAGGGCGCGUAGGCGGCCUGUUAAGUCGAACGUGAAAUCCCCGGGCUCAACCCGGGAACUGCGUCCGAUACUGGCAGGCUUGAAUUCGGGAGAGGGAUGUGGAAUUCCAGGUGUAGCGGUGAAAUGCGUAGAUAUCAGGAGGAACACCUACGGCGAAGGCAGCUCGCUGGGACGGUACUGACGCUGAGACGCGAAAGCGUGGGGAGCAAACAGG
rnacentral:rRNA from 1 species